CAGAGAAGAGAUCUCAAGUGUGA
rnacentral:siRNA from 1 species